rnacentral:lncRNA from 1 species
CCCGUCUCUGUCCUCCUCAGCCGCGUUCUCCAGUGCGUGUAGCAGACCUAUCGGCUCUCGUCCCGUCUCACUUCACUCCAUCUCCGAAGUCCCAACCCUAGGAGGAAAAGGGUGGGAUAGAUUCCCAGGGGCUGUAAAGGCAACGACAGCAGUGACGAAGACCUGUUUCAAGAAGAGCCAGAGUCACUUUGGAGGCAGCGGUGAUGUCAAGGAUAUGCCCCGCCUCUGAAUGCUCCGCG